rnacentral:rRNA from 1 species
GACGAACGCUGGCGGCGUGCUUAACACAUGCAAGUCGAACGGAAAGGCCCUGCUUUUGUGGGGUGCUCGAGUGGCGAACGGGUGAGUAACACGUGAGUAACCUGCCCUUGACUUUGGGAUAACUUCAGGAAACUGGGGCUAAUACCGGAUAGGAGCUCCUGCUGCAUGGUGGGGGUUGGAAAGUUGCGGCGGUUGGGGAUGGACUCGCGGCUUCUCAGCUUGUUGGUGGGGUAGUGGCUUACCAAGGCUUUGACGGGUAGCCGGCCUGAGAGGGUGACCGGCCACAUGGGCCCUGGGAUAGGGCCCAGAGGCCUACGGGCGGCAGGGGUGGGGAAUAUUGCGCACAGGGCGGAGGCCUGAAGCAGCAACGCCGGGUGGGGGAUCACGGCCUUCGGGUUGUAAACCGCUUGCGCCUGUGACGACGCGUGAGGACGGGUAAUGGGCAAAGAAGCACCGGCUAACUACGU